CCCGAACAUGAACCAGUAUGCAAACGAACCGCACAGCAACCCAAAAAGAACAAAAAUACCCCGUGAGGCUGUGACCCUCCCAUAGUCCCAUCCACCGUGCCAUCUUCCCCCGCCCCAUCCCUUCUUCCCCGCAGGCGCCAUGGCCGCCCCUCCACCUGCCUCCAAUCCUCCGACCACCUUCUUCCAUGCCCCUCCCCUCCCCCUACCACCUUCUUCUGUGGCGGUGGCCCAACGGGUUUGACCUUCCCCGGCCAUGGAACCACCUCUCACCGUUGCGCCACCGCCCCACUCUGCCGCCUGAGUGCCUCCAGGAACCCCUACUGCCGCCUUCCCCUGCGAGACCGCUGCACCCUCGAGCUCCAGCCGAUCCAGAGAACUGCGCCGUCGGCUACCACUGACUCCUACUCCGGCGACCCUGACGGAGAUGUCCUCAGCCCGCUACUUCCUAGAGCACCGACGCGCCCACCAUCUGCGUCUCCAUGGAUCCAGCGGAAUCUGGGCCACUUGAUCUGGGCUCCCUUGCCGGCGAGCCCCGACAAGCUACAUCCCCGACCCCGACCCAGGUCAGGAGCAAAGGGGUUCCCUCUCCUCGCCCCUAGGCUCCUCUGAGCGGCGAUUGGAUCCACUGCCUCCCCUAGCGCACACACUUCCUACCUCGGGGGUGGAUCCUGACGGGAUCCAGGCCGGUGCCACAUCCCCCCACCGGUGAGCCGGCCCUCUGCCCACCUGAAAUUCCAGAUCGGGCCUCCCCCAAGGAGUUGCUGCGGGAUCCACACCGGUGCCACAUCCCCCCGCCGGUGAGCCGACCCUCUGCCCACCUCCGCCGCUAGAGCAGCACGACCGUGCUCGUGCAGUGCAUCGUGACUUCGCGUGCAGUACAGUGGGUGUGUGCCCCCUCGAUUUCUCCUCCUCGACUCCACUCCACCAUGCAAUUCGGCGGGGUACACCAUGCAGCUCGGGCAACACGCGCAUGCGGUUCGGUUGUGCAUGGGAAUGCAGCACAUCGCAUAGGUGGUCAGAGGGGAGGAUGGUUUUGCGUUCAUUUUUUGUUUCUGCGAUUGAGAUCUUCAGUGCACGACAAGCGACAGGUCCGGCAGCACUCUCGUCCUGCGAUGCCGGGGUGCAGUAUGCCUGUGUCCCUCAUGUGGUGCGGUGCAUCGCCAACGUGCAGUUCGCCUUGGUCCUUCGAGGUGGUGCCAUCGCCGGCGUUCAGUUUGGGACUUUUUUUCUUCAGAUUUUGCUUGUGUACAACACUGCAGUACACGUGAGUCAUCGGUGCGGUGCAGGCGUGCGGCUAGGCGUUCUGUUGCAGUUCUUUAUAGUUGAUUUUCCAGAGUUACAAAGACUUUUUGAGAAAAAAAAUGAAAAUCUGUGGACGCUACAGUUCAAUCCGUCUCUAUAUUAUCGAGAGGUUUUAGCGCAUU